CCUACGGGCGGCUGCAGUGGGGAAUAUUGGACAAUGGGGGGAACCCUGAUCCAGCGACGCCGCGUGAGUGAAGAAGUAUUUCGGUAUGUAAAGCUCUAUCAGCAGGGAAGAAAGAAAUGACGGUACCUGACUAAGGAGCCCCGGGUAACUACGAGCCAGCAGCCGCGGUAAUACGUAGGGGGGAAGCGUUAUCAGGAUUUACGGGGGGUAAAGGGAGCGUAGUCGGCGAUGCAAGUCUGAAGUGAAAGGCGGGGGCGCAACCCCCGGACUGCGUUGGAUACUGUAUGGCUGGAGUGCAGGGGAGGUAAGAGGAAUUCCUAGUGUAGCGGUGAAAUGCGUAGAUAUUAGGAGGAACACCAGUGGCGAAGGCGGGUUACUGGACUGUAACUGACGUUGAGGCUCGAAAGCGUGGGGAGCAAACAGGAUUAGAUACCCGGGUAGUC
rnacentral:rRNA from 1 species